rnacentral:ncRNA from 1 species
GACCUGAAAAGUGGUGAACUAUGCCCGCGAAUGUUGAGGCCAUAGGGAAUUCUGAUGGAAUGCUUUAGCAAUCCUGACGUGAAAGUCUGUCAUAUAAUGUGAGUUAUGGGGGGAAAACUAAUUAAACCGACUAGUAGCUGG